rnacentral:rRNA from 1 species
AGUAAUGCGUGACCAACAUGCCCCAUGCUCCAGAAUAGCUCUUGGAAACGGGUGGUAAUGCUGGAUGCUCCAACUUGACGCAUGUCUUGUUGGGAAAGUGUUUAGUGGCAUGGGAUGGGGUCGCGUCCUAUCAGCUUGUAGGCGGGGUAAUGGCCCACCUAGGCUUCGACGGGUAGCCGGCCUGAGAGGGCGGACGGCCACAUUGGGACUGAGAUACGGCCCAGACUCCUACGGGAGGCAGCAGUG